UAUCCCGUCCAUACCUCUGCCUCCACGUAGAAGUUCACCCCAGCCCAACACAUCCUACGAGGCUCCGACACCUAGAAACUUGUCCAGGAGCUCAAAAGCCAGCACGCCCAGGUUCCUUUAAUUUCCCUAAAUCUUGAGAAUCUCCUCUAAGCCAGGAACCAGAGAUGCUGCAGGCUGACCAGAGGCCUCUGGAGCCCAGGCCACCGCUGGGUGUUUGUGAUGAUUGGACAUUCUGUUGUGCCCCCGAUGUCGGAGCUGGGUUUUGAUGCGUGUGGAUUUCUUGCUUUGUUAAGAGGAAGUACUACAGAGCCUGGGCUCCCAAAGCCAUGAGUAAGCAGCCUCCCACUACGGUGGACAGGAGCUGGUCCCACUGCCAUGCCUUCUCGUCCAUGACCCACCAGGUGAAUGAUACCCAGUCAGGCUGAGCAUUGAUGUGGCAGACAGUUCCUACAGCAGCCCAGUGCGAAGGCCUUUGACCUCCUGGCCCAGUUCAGUGUUGAGAACCACUGUCCUAGAGCCUUUUGCAUGUAGGCUGUAGCCUGCUCCACGCAGCUGGUACAGACACACCCCAGUGCACCUGGACCUACAACCUGUGGUUACCAGGCUCUCCCAGCAGGAUCGUGACCCUAACACAAGGGAUAGCAUUGUCCAAGUAGUCACCUCACAGAAACAGUAAUGUCCUCCUUUCUGACCAGUUGUCAGGAGCUGAAAUUGCACCACCCAAUUUUCCAGUGAGUCAUUUCGUCUUACUUAGGGUUGCUAUUGCUAUGAUGAAACACCAUGGGGGGGGGAGGGGAAGGGUUUAUUACUUGGGUUACACUUCUACAUCACCGCUCAUGAUCGGAAUCAGGACAGGAACUCAAACAGGGCAGAAACCCGGAGGCAGGAGUUGAUGCAGAGGCCAUGGAGGGGUGCUGAGUACUGGCUUGCUCCCCAUGGCCUGCUUCACCUGCUCUCUCAUGGAACCCAGGACCACCAGCCCAGGGGUGGCACCUGGCCCACCACGGCUGGACCCUCCCCAGUCAACCACCAAUUAAGAAAAUGCCCUACAGGUUUGCCUACAACCCUGCCGUAAGGCGGCAUUUUCCCAAUCGAGACUCUUCUGUGUUACUCUAGCUUGUGCCAAGUUGACAGAAAAAUAGGCGGCACAUCAUUCUUAAACCCUUUAGGACUGACCUAAAUUGUGGGUUCUUUUUAACUCUUUAUUAAUGCUUUAUGAAUUUCUUUUUUUUUUUUUUGGUUCUUUUUUUCGGAGCUGGGGACCGAACCCAGGGCCUUGCGCUUCCUAGGUAAGCGCUCUACCACUGAGCUAAAUCCCCAGCCCCGCUUUAUGAAUUUCUAUUCCACUCAUUUCCCUGCCCCUUUGUAUCUGCCCUCCUUGCAACCUCCCCCGCAACAUAAAAUAAAAUAAAAUAAGAUGGAAAAAAAAAUCUUGUCCUGGAAGCUGUAAUGUGCCACAGUGUGACCCACAGUAUACCUUCUUGUCCACACAUCUUUUAUUUUCAUUAAUUUAUUUAUUCACUUUACAUCCCAAUCGAUGCCCCCUCUCCUCCCGGUUCCCCCACCACAGAGUCCUUUCCCCUGCAUUCCCUGCCCUUCUCCUCUGAGAGGGUGGAGGAGCAGAGGGCUGCCCCCAAAGCUGUUGACCACACAUCUUUACUUCACGUGUUCAGUUUGAGUCAUUACUCUGUUUCGAAGCUUCUGGCUUCUGCUACAUUGUCAGCACUCGAUCCUCACAGGAACUUCUCUAGGAUUGUUGUUGUUGCCCAUGGAGAUCCUGCUGCUUUGGUUCUGUAGGGCCUGCUCCUUCUCAGAUUCCAGCAGUUCAUACAUAAGGUAGGUGUAGGUAUGGGCUAAUUCAGAGCCCUGGAUCUGGGCCUGGAAGAUAGCUGAGUUUGUCAGCUGGCCAGCUCCUGUACCCGCAGGGCGAGCUCUCCAGCACUGCCCUGGUUAGCUCGCCUAAGUCAAAGCCGGCAAGGGGCAGGGCCAGCUCUCCUACCUUCAUAUCCUCUGGGCCAGCUCACUAGUGCCUUCUCCACCAGGCCAGUUCUGCUGUGCUGACCAGAUGGCAUGCAAAGACCGUUUGCCCAAGUGCUGCAGCCAGUGAGGGGCCGGGCCAGCUCCUCAGCUCUCGUGACCUCAGGGGCAGCUCGCCCACUGCCAAGGGAGGGAAUCUCUUCCUUGCUCAUGCUACCCCACAGUAGAUGAGGGGUGACUCUCCAUCUCUAAUGACCUCAGGGCCAGCUCCCUUGCACCCUUGCCACUAGACUCAGCUUUACUGUGCUAUAGGUAGUGAAGGGCAAGAGAAGGGACCUUAAGUUGUGUUUUUAAAAAUGGAAAACAAGUGAAUUAUCUUUUUAAAACAUGCUUUGGGGCAUGGUGACACAUACCUUUAAUCUUAGCACUUGGGAGGCAGAAGCAGAUGGAUCUCUGAAUUUAAGACCAGCCUGCGGGCUGGGGAUUUAGCUCAGUGGUAGAGCGCUUACCUAGGAAGCACAAGGCCCUGGGUUCAGUCCCCAGCUCCGAAAAAAAGAACCAAAAAAAAAAAAAAGACCAGCCUGGGCUACAGAGUGAGUUCUAGGCCAGCCAGAGUGACAUAAUGGUAGUAGAAAAUUUGAGCUUUGAUCAAACCUUUUCUUUAAGGAAGAGAUAGCAUGCCAAAGCUGGGGAGCUGUGAGUGUCCUGGGAUAGGAGAGAGAGAGAAAGGAGCAGGAACACGGUCCCUUCCAACAUUCAGCAGCAGGACAGAGCCAACCCUGAGACACUGAAAAUUCCCUGUGGCAUGAAAAGAAGGCAGACCAGGCCAGGUAUGUGCCAAAGACAUCAAAGGGAAGAAUGAGGAUCAGAUGUGGAAAAAAAUAGACAACCAAAGAAAAAGUUAAUGCAGCCUAAAUGAUAUUUUAGAAAGCUUAAUACAAUUGAUAAAGUCCUAGCAGGAUAUAUUAAGGAGAAGCAGGAACCAUAAAGACCUAAGGGAGAUCUGAAAUUAAUUUAUUUAUGAAUUUUAAAGUUUAUUAGAAGAUGGAACAAGGGGCGGGAAAGGUGGAUGAACACUGAAGAGCUGCCACUAUUUCUGCAGAGGCCUAGCAUUCAGUCAGCUCUCAGCAUCUGUGCUGGGUGCCUCACAAAGGCUGGCGAUUCUACCUCCAGGGAAUCCAAAAUUCUCUCUUGGCUUUAGCAGCUACUGCAUUCUGGUGAACACACACACACACACACACACACACACACACACACCACACUCAUACACACACAUGCACACAUACACACUCAUACACACAUACCCCACACACUCAUACACACACACACAUGUGCUCAUACACACACAUGCACACACCACACACUCAUACACACACACACUCAUACACACACACACACACACACACACACACACACACACUCACAUAAUAAAAAAGAGUCUUAAAAAGAAGAUACUAGAGCUCUCUGCUCCCAAACCCCGUGGGAGAGAGACCUCACCGCCUGAUCAGGUGGGCACUCCUGAGGCUGCAGAGCGGAGGAGACCACCAACACUGCCCACCCCUGCCCACAUCCCUGGCCCAAGAGGCAACUGUAUAAGGCCUCUGGGUUCCCGUAGGGGAGGGCCCAGGAGCGGCAGGAUCCCUGCACCUGAGACACCGCCGGAAUCUGAAGGAAACAGACCGGAUAAACAGUUCUCUGCACCCAAAUCCCGUGGGAGGGAGAGCUAAACCUUCAGAGAGGCAGACACGCCUGGGAAACCAGAAGAGACUGCACUCUGUGCACAUCCAGACGCCAGAGGAAAACACCAAACGCCAUCUGGAACCCUGGUGCACGGAGGCUCCCGGAAAGAGCGGCGCAGAUCUUCCCAGUUGCUGCCGCCGCGGAGAGGACUUGGGCAGUACCCCACGAGCAAACUUGAGCCUUGGAACCACAGGUAGGACCAACUUUUCCCCUGCAAGAAACCUGCCUGGUGAACUCAAGACACAGGCCCACAGGAACAGCUGAAGACCUGUAGAGAGGAAAAACUACACGCCCGAAAGCAGAACACUCUGUCCCCAUAACUGGCUGAAAGAAAACAGGAAAACAGGUCUACAGCACUCCUGACACACAGGCUUAUAGGACAGUCUAGCCACGGUCAGAAAUAGCAGAACAAAGUAACACUAGAGAUAAUCUGAUGGCGAGAGGCAAGCGCAGGAACCCAAGCAACAGAAACCAAGACUACAUGGCAUCAUCGGAGCCCAAUUCUCCCACCAAAGCAAACACGGAAUAUCCAAACACACCAGAAAAGCAAGAUCUAGUUUCAAAAUCAUAUUUGAUCAUGAUGCUGGAGGACUUCAAGAAAGACAUAAAGAACUCCCUUAGAGAACAAGUAGAAGCCUACGGAGAGGAAUCGCAAAAAUCCCUGAAAGAAUUCCAGGAAAACACAAUCAAACAGUUGAAGGAAUUAAAAAUGGAAAUAGAAGCAAUCAAGAAAGAACACAUGGAAACAACCCUGGACAUAGAAAAUCAAAAGAAAAGACAAGGAGCUGUAGAUACAAGCUUCACCAACAGAAUACAAGAGAUGGAAGAGAGAAUCUCGGGAGCAGAAGAUUCCAUAGAAAUCAUUGACUCAACUGUCAAAGAUAAUGUAAAGCGGAAAAAGCUACUGGUCCAAAACAUACAGGAAAUCCAGGACUCAAUGAGAAGAUCAAACCUAAGGAUAAUAGGUAUAGAAGAGAGUGAAGACUCCCGGCUCAAAGGACCAGUAAAUAUCUUCAACAAAAUCAUAGAAGAAAACUUCCCUAACCUAAAAAAAGAGAUACCCAUAGGCAUACAAGAAGCCUACAGAACUCCAAAUAGAUUGGACAAGAAAAGAAACACCUCCCGUCACAUAAUUGUCAAAACACCAAACGCACAAAAUAAAGAAAGAAUAUUAAAAGCAGUAAGGGAAAAAUGUCAAGUAACAUAUAAAGGCAGACCUAUCAGAAUCACACCAGACUUUUCGCCAGAAACUAUGAAGGCCAGAAGAUCCUGGACAGAUGUCAUACAGACCUUAA